ACGAACGCUGGCGGCGUGCUUAACACAUGCAAGUCGAACGGAAAGGCCCUGCUUUUGUGGGGUGCUCGAGUGGCGAACAGGUGAGUAACCCGUGAGUAACCUGCCCUUGACUUUGGGAUAACUUCAGGAAACUGGGGCUAAUACCGGAUAGGAGCUCCUGCUGCAUGGGGGGGGUUGGAAAGUUUCGGCGGGUGGGGAUGGACUCGCGGCUUAUCAGCUUGUUGGUGGGGUAGUGGCUUACCAAGGCUUUGACGGGUAGCCGGCCUGAGAGGGUGACCGGCCACAUUGGGACUGAGAUACGGCCCAGACUCCUACGGGAGGCAGCAGUGGGGAAUAUUGCACAAUGGGCGGAAGCCUGAUGCAGCAACGCCGCGUGCGGGAUGACGGCCUUCGGGUUGUAAACCGCUUUCGCCUGUGACGAAGCGUGAGUGACGGUAAUGGGUAAAGAAGCACCGGCUAACUACGUG
rnacentral:rRNA from 1 species